AAAUGGUUUGGGAGGCUGAAAAAAGGUGGGAGGCUGGAGGGCAGUAGGGCCAGAAAAAAAUUGGAGGUCGAAGAAAGGUGGGAGGCUGAAAAGGGGUGGGAGGCUGGAGGUCAGUAGAGGACAGAAAA